UCGACGAGUUUUCGGUAGUUAGUCUACCUACCCCUAUAGUCAACUAUCCCCGGUCUCCCCUAAAUUGCAGAGUAAUAAUUUAGUUCUUUUCCGUAAAUAUUUCCCGAAAAGAAAAAAAACUUUAGGAUUUCAUUCCCACCACUAAUGCUGGUGGACGGGCAGUCCCUCCGGACUACAUCGGAAGGUAGGGCGGAAGGCUCUUUCCAGCCCCUUCGGAUGAGAAAUAUGAGACGGAUGAAAUGAAGACAGAAGAGAAUGAAAGAUAAUCUGUGGAAUAUUACUGCCCCAACAUUUGCGUAGAAAAUCACAGGAAAACUUGGACCACUUCUUCUCUUAUCGAUCGAUAUCGUGUUCUUGGCUUUCUUCCCUUUCCUUUUCCUUCUUUUUUUGUCAGAAGUUUCCGAUCAAAACCUAAUCGUAUGCCCAUUAAGGCAGUCCGUACACAUCGAUCUGACAUCGUGUACCUUUCUCUAGGUUCCACAUUCAAUUGAAUAUUGCUUUAAUUGACUUUUACCAACGUUCAAUAUAAGGAGGAUAGUAGGAACGUGUGUUUUUAAACAGUUAUUUGUGAAAGUUUUCUCAACUGUGCUGUUCGAAGUUGGGAUCUACAAUUUGCAUGUUAAAGCAGAAUGCGAGAAGUAUCAGCUAGGAUAAAUAACUUAUUGGCAUUCCUUUGUAUGCUCAUAGAGCUGUUUGGGGAUGUUUCUGAAAAUGUAUUAGUAAUGGUAUUAACGCAAUGAUCCUCAAAGUGUGCGCCCCAAAAAUUUAGAAAUCGCAUCGCGGAAAACUCCGAUUAUUUAGGGAACUGCAAACCAAAAGAGAACAUCUGUAUUAACGAUUUGGAAUAACACGAAUGAUUUAAUGUCCUAGCUAAGAUUCUCUAAAGAUCCUAGCCACAGCAACCGGCGAACCGUUAGAUAAACUAAAAAUAUAAAGAACCCAUGCUGUCAUGAUUCGAGUCUAAUUCAGAAGAAUUUUUUGGUAUUUAUUGAUAUUGACUAUCUUAAUAAAUGGUUUGAUUUUGCUGAAAGAAAUUGGUUAUUCAAAAUCUAAAAAUAGGAGGUUGCUACUCUCUAUUCCCGCCAGUUUGGCAUUCACAAAAAGGACAUUUUCGGUUAUGAAUUCGAAAAGAGAUUCUUCCAUCUUCAAUGCUGGAUGUGGACUCUAUUUCAGUGAAAGGAUCUCUGAAGAAGUUCGCCACUUGUUCUGGCGAAACGUUAGAAAGCAACUGUAACCAACGACGGCUUUUAGACCCGAAUCAAACCAGCAUCAGGCCACGAAUGUCUUUACCAAUUUACCAAAAGGACCCAAUACAUUUUCUAAAGACUGGUUGGUCCUCCAGUAUGCAGGAGUUGCAAUAUUUCUAAGAAUUAUUCAGUUCAUGUAGAUGCAGCCGUAUAUUAUGUUGGAUAAUUCUGGAAAAGCGCCAUGGAUUAUGGGAUAUGCGGUUCAAAGAUGGUCUCAAGCACGUGAGAGCGACCUACAGCCUGCGAUGAUGGCAUUUUUGUACUAUAAAUACCAUGCUUAUAAAUGUAAUCCUGAAUUAUGACGGGAGAAAGAAAAAUAACCUGGUUCUUGUCCCGGAAAAUUUGUUACCUUAUUCACUGUCUACAAAACUUGGACAAUUUUCUUUUCUUCCGAUGAAAAACGAUGUGCUCCGCUCCUUAUUUUCGCGUGCGACGAAAGGUCAAACUUGCCUACUACGAAACCCUAACAACCGGAUCCAAAUGUGAGUUAUGGAAUACGUUGGAAAAACAGGCAACUAAUAGAUUUCAGAGCGACAGUUACCAUACACUUAAUAGCUACAAAACUAUCCUGGAAUUACAGAAACUAAGAUAAUGCGCCAAUCGUAAAUUUAAUUUCUCACAAUGCUUGACUGUUUUAUUAAUAGAAUUACUGUAUCAUUAUGUUUAACAUAUAAGUUAAUUGUUGCAUAAAAUAAAAAUGUCAUGUUUU